UGAUUUCAUAGGUGGAUUUGACUCUUACGGCUAUCAAGGUCCACAGAAGACAUCUCAUUUACAACUACAGCCCAUGUAUAUGUCAAAGUAAACAUGGGGAGUACCCAAGGUGGGCUGGAAGGCCACUGUCAAAGAAACUGUUUCAGAAUGGCCUCCUGAUUCUUCAAAGAGAAAAAAAUCCAAUUUUUCUGCUAAAAGAAGAAUAUAAAAGCUGGUUGAACAGUGAGACAGAAAACAAGAGACUUUCAGCCCCUCUUUCUAACAGGUACUAAAGGAGAUGCCCCAGACCCCCACCUUGGACCUCCUGCCUCCCAGCACCAGAGGACAGAGCAGAGGCAUUGGUGCCAUCUUUUAUCUCUUCCCUACCCCGGCCACCGCCAGUGUGACCCAUCUGGAUUAAGACAUGAACUCGGUGCUUUUGGAGCCUCCUUCAUACUUCUGGCCUCAUCAAGUCUCCUUAGUCAACACGACACUGAAAUACCAGGAUGACCUUGCAGCAGAAGUCAAAAGACAGCGCAUUGUUUGCCCUGAAGGCUGUACAGUUCAUACUUGCCUUAACCCAACUGCAUUGCACAUUAGAGAAACUACGUGCAAGCUUUCUGAAGUUAACAUGCUGCUGUUAAUUCUGAACAAUUUCUAAGUCAGUGGUUUUCUUCUGUUUCGUUUUGCUUUGUUUUCGUGUCAGGGAAUAAGGCUCUGUUGCUCCACGGCUCCAGAGUGACCAAGUAGAAAACUGCCAGCUGCCUGAUAAGUGCUUUACUUUUGAGACUCCACAGUGGUCAAGAAACAGUUUAUAAUGAUUAAAAAGAAAAAGAAAGAAAGAAAUAAGACCUUUGGGGGGUCAGGGUGAGGAAAGGGGUAACAUAAACUAAUAAUUGAACCUACUGGAAAUACGCAGCAGAAAUAGUUCUUUAAUCCCACUGGUUUUAUUUAUCGCACUGUAGGUGCUUUUAUAGCUAUCUCUAAACGUCUUUUACUAACUACAGAGACAUCUGCAGAUUUCUAUCAACAAAGGCCAACUGAAUAUGUACUAGCUACAUUUAGUCUUUUAUAUGUAAUUUCAACUAAAAAUUCUCUCUAAGUGAGCUUUUUUUUUUCUAAUUGCACCAUAAGGGAUCCACAUAUUUUAUUUUUUGAUUUCAGUUGGAGAGGGCGGGGAGGCACUAGUUGAGUUGAAGAAAUAUUGAAGACCUUUUUGGGGUAUGUUUGGGGGAUCUGUUCUGUGUUAGAAUGUGUAUUUUAUCUUCCUGUAUUAUUGUGGCUGAAAAAAAAAAAAACUGUGCUGUUACGUAGUUGGCAACAAGAUGCCUUUGGGAAUUUUGCUAGUAGGUCAAUGUGUAUAUGAAAUACUCUGAACUCCUAGGAACAUAUGUUUUAUUCUACAUCUGAUCUGUAUUUUCAAGAACAUAGGUGGCUUUCACUAGGAAAACCCAAUACUUUGCUCAGGUUUUUCAGAAACUUGGAUUGUCAUUGUUUCUUUGCUCAGACCUUGCAUAGACAAACGCACGCACCUACCACACAUGAAGUGACCACGUAGGUUUUGAGGGCAAGAGGAAAGGUCAACACUUGGAAAAGCUUGAGGUACACCUGAGCAACUCCCUUUUCCUUGCUGGCCAAGGCCUUGCUCCAAAGGCCUGUGCGCUCACACCACUCACUCAUCCCUGUACAAACCAGUGCCCUUUGCUGUGUCUGCAUGGAUGUACAGUGUCACAAGCAGCAACUCUGGACAAUGACAGAGGGACAGUGAAAGCAAGAUAUGGGACAUGUUCAGGAGCUAUGCUUACAUUGAUUCAGUGAGAUUUAUAUAGAUAGAUAGAUAGAUAUAUGUAAGUGUGUGAAUGUGUGUGUAUGUCUAUGUAUAUAAAAUACACAGGAAUAAUUAUUGUUGGGGGCUGCAUCACCCAGGAAGAUUCUGAUGCAGUGGACCAAGGGCUCCUGUCUCAGAUACUGCUGGGAAUUUCCUGCAUGAAACAGGCACGUACCCUAGGCCUGAUCCCAUAAAGCAUUCACUGCUGAUUUGGAUCUCAAAUUUAAAUUUUUGUACUUGGGGACCUGAAAUUCUGAGUUCAUUCUGGAUAGAGCUGCUUUUCACCCCCUGGAAACCCCAUGCAACUUCCAAGUGCCAGGAUGAAAUUUCCCAUAACUUGAAAAAUUUCAAAAGUUUCUACUUUUAUGUAGUAUUAAAUAUAGCAGAUGUAUAGAAUUAAACAUAACACAGAGGUUUAAAUGGAAUGAAAAUGUCAUAACAGCUUCUUUUAUCUUUCCCUGUAUACCAGUUAAUCAAGAUGAUAUUUCUAUAAAAAUCACUUUUUAACAUGAAAAGAAACCAGUUUAGGCACCUAAGCAGCAAUCCAAUUUUCAGAUGAUAAUUUUUCAUACCUCUCAGUGAUUUCCCAUGGAACAGCAGCUACUGCUAGUUAGCAAUUUUAGAAGUCAGACAAUUUAAUGAAGUGUCUACAUGUAGUUUAUAGGCCUGAUUUUAAUUUAGAAAGUUUUGGCCUUAGUUUCUCUGUGUCUUAGUCUUCCCAUCUAUAAUACGGGAAUAAUAUGUGCCUCACAGGCUUUUUGUGAGGUCUGAAUUGUUAAUGUUUGUAAAAUGCUUAGGAAAUAGGAAGCACAUCUAAACUACUACAGACUGCAAUAUAAAUGUGUAUUCAUAUAUUACAUAUAGAGUAGAUACACACACUCGCUUACACACAGUAUACAUAUAUAUAUACGCAUACUUACCUAUACGAAGUUGGUAUUCGUAACCCUGCUUAAAUUGCAGUUGGAGCACCACCAUUUAAAAAAUUAGGACUGUUGACUACUCAACUAAAUGAUUAGUGGACAGAUCUCUUCUGGAAGCAGUUUAGAGCACAGUAAUGUGAGAAUAUCUGGAUGGCACUUUUGAUUUGUACAGCUGUAUCCUCCUCAAAAACCAGUAAAGAAUGUUAUUUUUCUAGGCUGGGCUUUUGUUAUAAACUAAAAUAUUCAGAAGGCAAGAGAUACAAUCCAAAUGUGGUUUUUUUUCUUUUCUUUUCUUUUUGGCAUUUGUUAAUUCCGAAUGUAUUUUUAACAAAAGUGAUUUUUUUGACUUACUAGUGUAAUUUGCAUUUUAAAAAAAAUAAAUGGAAAAAAUAUAGGUUUCCAAGCUAUUCAUGGCCCCCUGCUGCUAUUCACAACUUACGGGAAACUUAGAAUUACUGUUACCAGCUGAGCAACAAUGCAGGAUAAAUAAUCCUAUUACAUUUACAUGAUGACAGUCCUGAUCUGUGCAGUGCAUGGAUGUGACAGCACUGAAUAGAAAUUGCCAGGUCAUGACACCAUUUUAACACUGUCAUAUGUAGCAGGUAUUUUCAUUAUCACUGACACUAAAAGGUUUCCUUUACAAGGUUGACUGCAACAGACUCUUCACUUAGGAAGCAGGGCUGGUUUUGUGCACUCAUCAGGAAUUUUAAGCCUAUGAUAGGUAUACAGUGGCCAACAGUGUUAAGUAUUACAAAAGUAAUCCUUUUUAAGAAGGAGCUAUGUAACAUGGAUAUUUCCACUGCAUUAAUAUUCUUUUAUAUGCCAUUUAUUGUCCCUACACUGAAAUGAAGAAAUAUUGUGAAAUGUUUAUAGAGUUCACACAUAUAUGCCUGAGGUCAUUUAAUAAAGGUGGAGCAGAACAGUAUA